rnacentral:lncRNA from 1 species
ACUUAUAGGUCUUCAAUAAAUAGGACUUCCCUUUCUCACUGUAAGAGUGGCAGCUGUCUCAUUCUUCUGUGUAUGUGUGUGUGUGUGUGUGCACCCAUGCAAGUGCGUCUGUGUGUAUAUACAUGUGUGUGGGUACAUGGGUGCAUAUGCAUGUGAAGGUAAGAGACUGACUGUCCAGCAAGCCAGAGGGGCCCACCUGUGUUCCUCUGUGUAUCUUCUGGGCUGGGACUUCAAGUAUAUACCACCACUCCCAGCUUUUUAACUGGGCUCUGGGAUUUGAACUCAGGUCCUCCUACAUGCACAGCAAGCAUGCACUGAUCUAGCUAUCACCUAGCUUGUUCCCUUUUAUCCAUUUUGAUAUCUUCUAAGACCCCUAGAUAGCACCUUGCCUUACAUAAACUGUUUCUCCUGUCCCUAUGAUAAAGCUUAAUUUGUGAGUCAGGAAAAGUAAGACAUUACUAAUAGUGAAAAGAUCAUGUUACAGUUAUACAUUAUAAUGAGAGUUCUCUGUUUUCUUUCUCUCACCCUUGUAAUAAGUUCUUUCCUCUACCACAGUGGUAUUCAAUCUCCCUAAUGUUGUGAUCUUUUAAUACAGUUCCUUUUGCUGUGAUGACCCCCAACAAUAAAAUUGUUGUUGUUGCUUCACAACUGUAAUGAUACUACUGUUGUGAAUUGUAAUAUAAAUAUAUAUGCUUUCUGAUGGUCUUGGUCAACCCCUUGAAAGGGUCAUUCAACUCCCAAAGGGAGUUGUGACCCACAGUUUGAGAAAUACUGCUCUACUACAGAAGAGCAGAACUGUCCUCUGGGAGUAGAAACUUGGAGGGCAAAUCUACAGACCAGAAGGGACAACUGAGCUAAAAAUAUCCACUUAGGAAGCUUGAAUCUCACUGAGAAGGGGGAAUAAAACAGUCAUAAGAGGCAGUUGGAGGGGAAGGGAGCUGGGAGGAGGAAUAUGGGGAGGGGAGUGGUGUGAAGAAGGAUGGGGUGUGUGACUAGAUGGCCAUGAAGGUGAAUAGAGGUCUUGCUUGAUGGGGGUGGAGAUGUGGGGGCAUUUCCAGGACCAGAUAGAGACCUAGGAUAAGGGAGGUACCCAAGAAUCAACAGGGUGACCUUGACUGUGACACACUAUGUUGGGGAUGUGGAACCUGAGGAUACUACCUCUUGUAUACAGACAGGAACCCCCAAUAGAGCAAUAGAGACACCAACACACCCA